AAGGUAGAAGAGUAGGGGAACAGGACAGGUUUCCUCCUAUAAAUAGAGAUGUUUGGGAAUCCAUUUUCUCAUCAAUAAACCUUCAAAACUCCCACACAAGGUUCAAAUCUCUCCCAUUCUACUCUUGAGUCUUCCCUGAUCAACAAAGUUCAAAUCUUUGUACUGCUGAUUUUGGAAGUUCCAUAGCUAGCCUCUCUCUCUCUGUCUUGAUGUUUAUUAUGAUUUAUAUGUGAGGAGGCAGUGGUGAUGUUGUUGACAGAAGAUAGAGGGCACAGAUGAUGAUGAAAUGCAUAAAGUAUGCAUCUCAAUCCUUUGCGCUCUCUACUCUUCUGCCAUCACCUUUUCAGCCCCUCUCUUCAUUUUUAAUAUUCCAAUUUUAUGCAUAAUUUUCUUUCCACUACUUAUUGUAGCAUCAUUAGCUUCAUAUUUGCAGGUCUGAUGUGGUAGUCAUAAAUACCAGAAAGCAGCUGGGAUUCUUAAGAAGAGGAGAACUUGUUUUGAAGAUGGAUCAUCAAUCAUCCUCACAGACAACUGCUCCCACUGAUAUGCUCAAUUCAUAAUUAAAUUAACUAGGGAUCUGAUAUUUUGGUUAUCUUUUAUAUUGUUUGAUUGAGUUGUUGAACUUGUAGCUUUAGUGCAAUGUUGUUUUGUAUACAGUGAUUCAACAAGUGAAUUUUGUGUAAUUACAUGAUUUUCUUAUUGUGUCAAUCCAUUCCAAUUGAGAGAGAUGAUUUUGAUGGAAAGGUGUUUGAUAUUUUCCCUAUGAGAUUUACGUUGUGGAAGCAAUGGUGCAGCCAUCCUUGCA
rnacentral:lncRNA from 1 species